rnacentral:rRNA from 1 species
GACGAACGCUGGCGGCGUGCCUAAUACAUGCAAGUAGAACGCUGAAGGAGGAGCUUGCUUCUCCGGAUGAGUUGCGAACGGGUGAGUAACGCGUAGGUAACCUGCCUGGUAGCGGGGGAUAACUAUUGGAAACGAUAGCUAAUACCGCAUAACAGUGGAUAUCGCAUGAUAUCUGCUUGAAAGGUGCAAUUGCAUCACUACCAGAUGGACCUGCGUUGUAUUAGCUAGUUGGUGAGGUAACGGCUCACCAAGGCGACGAUACAUAGCCGACCUGAGAGGGUGAUCGGCCACACUGGGACUGAGACACGGCCCAGACUCCUACGGGAGGCAGCAGUAGGGAAUCUUCGGCAAUGGACGGAAGUCUGACCGAGCAACGCCGCGUGAGUGAAGAAGGUUUUCGGAUCGUAAAGCUCUGUUGUAAGAGAAGAACGAGUGUGAGAGUGGAAAGUUCACACUGUGACGGUAUCUUACCAGAAAGGGACGGCUAACUACGUG